AUUGAACGCUGGCGGCAGGCUUAACACAUGCAAGUCGAGCGGAGAGAGGUAGCUUGCUACUGAUCUUAGCGGCGGACAGGUGAGUAAUGCUUAGGAAUCUGCCUAUUAGUGGGGGACAACAUUUCGAAAGGAAUGCUAAUACCGCAUACGUCCUACGGGAGAAAGCAGGGGAUCUUCGGACCUUGCGCUAAUAGAUGAGCCUAAGUCGGAUUAGCUAGUUGGUGGGGUAAAGGCCUACCAAGGCGACGAUCUAUAGCGGGUCUGAGAGGAUGAUCCGCCACACUGGGACUGAGACACGGCCCAGACUCCUACGGGAGGCAGCAGUGGGGAAUAUUGGACAAUGGGCGGAAGCCUGAUCCAGCCAUGCCGCGUGUGUGAAGAAGGCCUUAUGGUUGUAAAGCACUUUAAGCGAGGAGGAGGCUACUUUAGUUAAUACCUAGAGAUAGUGGACGUUACUCGCAGAAUAAGCACCGGCUAACUCUGUGCCAGCCGCCGCAGUAACAC
rnacentral:rRNA from 1 species